rnacentral:rRNA from 1 species
GAAUAUUGCGCAAUGGAGGGAACUCUGACGCAGCGACGCCGCGUGAGCGAUGAAGGUCUUCGGAUCGUAAAGCUCUGUCCUUGGGGAAGAAGGUCUUCGGACUUGACGGUACCUAAGGAGGAAGCCCCGGCUAACUACGUGCCAGCAGCCGCGGUAAUACGUAGGGGGCAAGCGUUGUCCGGAAUUAUUGGGCGUAAAGGGUGCGUAGGCGGUCAUAUAAGUUUUAUGUGAAAUACCUGGGCUUAACCCAGGGGUUGCAUAAAAAACUAUAUAACUAGAGUACAGGAGAGGCAAGUGGAAUUCCUAGUGUAGCGGUGAAAUGCAUAGAUAUUAGGAGGAACACCAGUGGCGAAGGCGACUUGCUGGACUGUAACUGACGCUGAGGCACGAAAGCGUGGGGAGCAAACA